rnacentral:lncRNA from 1 species
CUUGCGCACUGAGUGAAGGCAGGCUGGACUCGCGGGCUCAAGCUGGGAAGGAGCAUGCGCGGAGAGAGCAGCCUGGGCGCCGAGGCAGCGGGGUGCUCGGUUCCCGGAGUGAUGGCGGAUGAGGCUGCCUGUGAGCGUGUCCGAGGCGGUCCUGUGAUGUUAAAGCAGCAAUGCCUUCCUCGGCCGUGGCGGUGGGUUACAAGUGAAGCUGAAUCUUGAAGGUACCCAAGCCUCCGCCUCCGCGCAACUCGGCAGCGGCAGGGAAAGAGAAGGAAUCAAUAACUCUCUAGGUAACUUGAAAUCACAGACAUUUUUAACUACAUUUGCAACUUCAGAAAUGAUACAAGACGUGCGCCUUGCAAAAGCCAAUUCAAACAGUACAGAAAGGCAUAAAGUAAAAAGAAAAACUGCUCCUCCCCCGCAAAGCCCUGCCCCAGUAGCGUGUAUACUUUCCUAAUAUUAGUCUAUGCACAAGCACAUAAAUGAAUAUUUUACAAGAUUGGGGUCUGCGUGUGGCUUGUUUUCACUCAUGGCCUUCUUUAUGCUGUUUUUUAAACUGUGGUAUGAAUGAAAUGGGUGCACCAUGAUUUAAUAAUUCUAUUGCUGAAUUAAUGCUUAAAGGCUGCUCCAGCUUUUUGCUAAUGCAAACUGUAGUGAACACGCUAAUACCUCUAUGUUUAUGUUUGUGUACUUUUGUGAUUGUUAGAUUCAAAUCCAAGAGUCAUCAUUUUUCUUUUUUUGAGGAGUCUCUCUGUCGCCCAGGCUAGAGUGCAAUGGCACGAUCUCGGCUCACUGCAACCUCCGCCUCCCAAGUUCAAGUGAUUCUCCUACCUCAGCCUCCCAAGUAGCUGGAAGUACAGGCACCCACCACCAUGCCCAGCUAAUUUUUGUAUUUUUAGUAGAGACGGGGCUUCACCAUGUUGGC